rnacentral:rRNA from 1 species
UACGUAGGGUGCAAGCGUUGUCCGGAAUUAUUGGGCGUAAAGAGCUCGUAGGCGGUCUGUCGCGUCUGCUGUGAAAACUCAGGGCUUAACCCUGAGCUUGCAGUGGGUACGGGCAGACUAGAGUGCGGUAGGGGAGACUGGAAUUCCUGGUGUAGCGGUGAAAUGCGCAGAUAUCAGGAAGAACACCCGUGGCGAAGGCGGCUCGCUGGGACGGUACUGACGCUGAGACGCGAAAGCGUGGGGAGCGAACAGG